rnacentral:lncRNA from 10 species
CCUUGUCCAAUGCCAUUAGACAUUCUCAGCACUAAGAAUUAAUAUAACUACAGCCUAUGAUCAGCUGUCUUCUAGUCACAGAUUUGACAUCUAAGAAAUACAACUUACUAGAGGGUCCUGGGAAUAAAAGAUGCUGCAUUUUGUAAGAGAAACCCUAGAUGACCAGAGCAUCUGAGAGAUGAGCAAAAAAACAUCUCCUGAAAAGCCAAGGGAAGGUGCCAGCCUCACAGGUUUUGGGGGCUGGUGAAAAGGGAGUAGACAUUCUGCGGGCAGUUUGGUCAUCUACCUGGAGGCUUCAAGUUCUGCACAUGCCUUGACCGACCUGGUGAUUUUCCUUCUAGAAAUGUAAUCUAAAGAAAUCAUUGUGACCGCACCAGUGAUGUAGCAAAGAACAUUCACUACAGUGUUUUUUAAAAUACUGACAAAUUAGAAAUAAGGUGUCUAACAAUGCUGGCGAUGUUAAAUCAACUAUGGUACAUCCAUUAAAGAAAAUAAUAUGCAGCCUUUUAUAACGGCUUGGUAAAGGUUAUUGUACUGAAGUGUUUGAUAUAUUACAUGGAAAAAGCAGAUUCUAGAAUAAUCUGUGCUAUGCAGAGAUCAUUAUUUUGAUUAUAUAUCCUGGAAUAAUAUCUAUUUUGAUUAUAUAUCCUGGAAUGAUACACGCCAAAUGGCUAAGAGUGACACCUCUAGGUUAUAGAAUUAGGGUUGAUUUUAUGUAUUCUCCCUUUCUUCCUUUGAUUCUUUUUCUCAUGUGUAUUUUUCUAUAAUAAGUGUAUAGUUCUGCGUAAUAAAAAAAAAAAAAGCUAAUGUCAGCUUGAGGCAUAAGUGCAUUCUGAGAAUCCUUGCUCACCAAGGUCAAGGCCAGAAGCAGCAGGAAAUUUGGAAAGCCAGAGAUGUCAAAAAUGAGCAUCAACAACAAAAUUAAGAAAUCAAGACAACACCUAUUGUGGCAAAGAGUUUCAAGGAAAAGACCAAUUCCAGGAAGGAAGAAUCAGAGCCUUCAGCAGGGUGACUAAGCCAUGACAGGGACUAGAAAAUCUGCUGAUAGACAGGUGAGGUGGUGACUGAUAUUGACACCUGGCUCAGUUCCCCA